UUAAAUGAAGUGUCAGCUCGCUUUUAUAUUCAGAAUUUAAUGACAAAUUAAAUGGAUUUCAAUUUAAUGACGUUUAUUUAUUCGAGUUCAUGAGUUGAGUUUGGCAGUGUAUGUGAUGGACUGCCACUGCAUGGAAUAUUAAAAAGGUUGUUUCACAUUAAAAAUGAACGAUAUAAGGAUGCGUUAUAUGGAAAAUACUAGUAGUUGGUUGGAAUGGUUAAAAAAAGUAAGUUGAAGCUUCUAUAAGAAACUGUUAUUAUUGCACAACCAAAAUUUUGACCAUUGUUACACAAAAAGUACUUCCUAUGCUCUAUAGCACUAUACUAUAAAUGAUAAUGAUUCUAGUAUAGUUAAAGUUUA